GAUGAACGCUCGCGGCGUGCCUAAUACAUGCAAGUCGAGCGAACAGAUGAGGAGCUUGCUCCUCUGACGUUAGCGGCGGACGGGUGAGUAACACGUGGAUAACCUACCUAUAAGACUGGGAUAACUUCGGGAAACCGGAGCUAAUACCGGAUAAUAUAUUGAACCGCAUGGUUCAAUAGUGAAAGACGGUUUUGCUGUCACUUAUAGAUGGAUCCGCGCCGCAUUAGCUAGUUGGUAAGGUAACGGCUUACCAAGGCAACGAUGCGUAGCCGACCUGAGAGGGUGAUCGGCCACACUGGAACUGAGACACGGUCCAGACUCCUACGGGAGGCAGCAGUAGGGAAUCUUCCGCAAUGGGCGAAAGCCUGACGGAGCAACGCCGCGUGAGUGAUGAAGGUCUUCGGAUCGUAAAACUCUGUUAUUAGGGAAGAACAAAUGUGUAAGUAACUAUGCACGUCUUGACGGUACCUAAUCAGAAAGCCACGGCUAACUACGUG
rnacentral:rRNA from 1 species